CCUACGGGUGUCUGCAGUGAGGAAUAUUGGUCAAUGGGCGCGAGCCUGAACCAGCCAAGUCGCGUGAGGGAAGACGGCCCUACGGGUUGUAAACCUCUUUUGCCGGGGAGCAACGGGCGCCACGUGUGGCGCUACUGAGAGUACCCGGAGAAAAAGCAUCGGCUAACUCCGUGCCAGCAGCGGCGGUAAGACGGAGGAUGCGAGCGUUAUCCGGAUUUAUUGGGUUAAAAGGGUGCGUAGGAGGAGCGUUAAGUCAGUGGUCAAAUUGAGGGGCUCAACCCCUUCCCGCCAUUGAAACUGGCGCUCUUGAGUGGAAGAGAAGGAUGCGGAAUGCGUGGUGUAGCGGUGAAAUGCAUAGAUAUCACGCAGAACCCCGAUUGCGAAGGCAGCAUGCCGGCUUCCGACUGACGCUGAAGCACGAAAGCGUGGGGAUCGAACAGGAUUAGAUACCCUUGUAGUC
rnacentral:rRNA from 1 species